rnacentral:lncRNA from 1 species
GCUUUUCCUAUGCCACAUCAACGACCUCCCGGAAAGCGUAAAAUCUCAAGUUCGUUUAUUUGCAGAUGACUGCCUACUCUAUCGAGAGAUUAAAAACACAAAAGACCACCAAACUCUCCAAGAAGAUCUAAAAGCUCUGGAAGUAUGGGCACUAAAUUGGGGAAUGAAAUUCAACGCAAAAAAAUGCUAUAUAAUGAGCUUCAAACAAAAAUCAACACACUUCUACCAACUAGACAACCACAUACUAGAACAGGUACAAACUAAUCCUUACCUAGGUCUUAACAUAUCUGAUGACCUAAAAUGGACCAGCCACAUAGGGAAAACAACAAGCAAGGC